rnacentral:rRNA from 1 species
CCUACGGGUGGCUGUAGUAGGGAAUCUUGCACAAUGGGCGAAAGCCUGAUGCAGCAACGCCGCGUGAAGGAUGAAGGCCUUCGGGUUGUAAACUUCUGUUCUAAGGGAAGAAACAAAUGACGGUACCUUAGGAGCAAGCCCCGGCUAACUACGUGCCAGCAGCCGCGGUAAUACGUAGGGGGCAAGCGUUAUCCGGAAUUAUUGGGCGUAAAGAGUGCGUAGGUGGUUACCUAAGCGCAAGGUUUAAUUUAGAGGCUCAACCUCUACUUGCCUUGCGAACGGGGCUACUUGAGUGCAGGAGGGGAAAGCGGAAUUCCUAGUGUAGCGGUGAAAUGCGUAGAUAUUAGGAGGAACACCAGCGGCGAAGGCGGCUUUCUGGACUGUAACUGACACUGAGGCACGAAAGCGUGGGUAGCAAACAGGAUUAGAUACCCCAGUAGUC